rnacentral:lncRNA from 1 species
CUUGUAAAAUCUUAAUAUUUCAUCAGUUAUAUCUGGUUAAAAAUGUCAGUUAUAAGUAGUGCGUUUGCAAGAUAAAUUUCAAACACAAAUUAAAGUCCCUAAACAAAUCAAAAUGUCCGUAAAGUCAAAAAUUAAAUCCAAACAUACUUAAAAACAAAAUGUCUGAACCGAGCUUCGGAAUCGCCGCCAAAUCUUAAUUCUAAGGUUCACCUGGAAAGUGUAAAAAAUAAACGAGUGAUCUAAAAUUUCAGUGUGUGACUUGGCCCACAUACACAAUUUUACUUAUAACAUACAUAAAUGCAAUUAUCCGAACAUAAUUUCAUAUUUUAGAAAUAUAUAACAUAUCAAAACAAAUCCUACCCCCAUCCGCUACACAUUAUCUCCGGCCAACCAAUCACAUUAAUUAGGACUUCAUGAGUCCAUCCAUCCAAUCACAUCGGUAAGUGGUGGUAUGCCAUUCAUAAAUAUGAAGUUGAGCUGUCAGGCACAUAUUGCAGUUUAACCGCUAGAAUUUAUAAUAAAAAUGCCAGAAUACACUUCCUCCAUCAUAUCAAACCCACCCCAACACACAUGCAUAAUCAUAUUAACAUACUUAUAAAUCAUAUGAAUUGAGUGGCAUGCGUACCUAAACAUACUUUUAUGGGUCAUAUCAUAUUGCAUAACUUAUACAAAAUUAAGCCUACUCAACAUGCUUUCUAAGCAAACUCAUGUAUAACAUGUCGAAUUUUAUGCUUUUAUAAGCCUACAAAAUGCUCACAAAGUCAAUUUUAGAGUCCCUUAAUUGGCCCCUAAUCGGGCCUUCAAAUUGGCCAAAAAGGGCCCACACACCCGUGUGGUCCACAUAGUCUACCUGUUUGGGCCGUGUAAUCACACACGACCAUGUGCUCCACACUGCCUGGCACACAGCCAACCACACAGUUGUGUGAUGCAUAUGGUUUGUCACACGGCCUGCCACACGGCCAUGUGACUUUGGGCAAUUUCGAGACUAGCCCCUGUUUUUAGGUUUUUUCGAGUUUCAGCCAAGUUUUCGAGUUAGUUUCACACACCUGAUGACAAUUUUGAUUAACUACACAACUGGGAACUCACGAAUCCUACAAUCAAACAUUAAAUCACAAAUUAACCUUCAAGAAUCCACUCAAGAUAACAUCCAUUUAUUAAAAAUUCAAUCCCUAAAGCGAUGUUGAGCACUUACUUAUAAGAAAAUAGAGUCAAAAUAAGCAAUUACUCCGCUGGAGAAUUUCAAUUCUCACGCCCUUCGCCUAAAAAAAAAACCACGAGAUCACUUAUCAUCACGUAGAACAAGAAUUAAACACUAAUCAAUUCAAACCUUGCUCAAGAACGAGUUAAAAUUUGAUAUCAGAAAAAUGGAUCAAUGUUACUUACCUUUACUCGGAUUUACUAUCGCAAACGAAGAAUAAAAAAGAUAGUCACAUAACAACCUUAAUGGCAGCAAGGUAAGAAGCAAAUCAAGAAGAAAGAUGAGAUGGAAAUUCAAGAAAAAGAAAAGAAAAGAAAGAAGAGGGAAAAGAAGAAAUGUGAGAGGGGAAACAAGAGAGGAAACGUGAAUAGGGGAGUGGGGAAAAAACUGAACAGUGUAGUUGGUGAGUGAAUUUAGGGAUUUUGAUAAUUUUAACAAAACAAAAAUAAUAAUUUAAACAAAUCCUAACCCAACUACCAACCAAUGGCAAUGAACAAACACACGACCAAAGGUUUAGAUUUAAUCAAAUGAUCUGGGAUAGGAAUUGAGCCAAAAAUUAACAAAAUUUCAAAAGAAAUUACUUAAACCCACAACCUUACACGCAUAAUCACAACACUCAACCCCUAAACCAAAUUAAAUUAUUUGAUAUAAUUUAACAUUCCAAAUAAGAAAAUUUGGGGCGUUAGGAUGACAACGUAAUUUAAAAUUGUCUAACAAAAAGAAUAAGUUAUAUAUAUUUAAUAAAAUUAUUUUAUAUAAAAUAAUUAUAAUGCUUAUUGUAUAUAAAAUUUAUUAUUUUGUGAUAUUAUAUGAAUUAACGAAAAUACCUUUUAUUGUUCAUUAUUAUAUUAUAUUGACAAUUAAAUAAAAUUUUGUAUUUCUUAUUAAAUUUAUAAACCUAAUAUUCAUACUAAAAUAUUUAUUUGGAAACUCAAAUAUAUUAGAGUAAACUCAAACCCAAAUAAUAUACUCAUUAUUACCCAAACUCAAAAUAAACUAAUUAUAGCACAAUCUCAAGUUUAAAAUAAAAAGAAAUUAAACCCAAUACCCAAAUACACUUUAUAAAAGUUAAAUCUCAAUUCAAAAUAUAAUUUAAUACAAACAAUAUUUUAUUAAGAUAAUAAAUUUUUAAUAAUAUUUUAUGUAUUACUAGUUAUAAUUAUAAACAUAUAUUUUAAUAUACUAAAUUACACAUAACUAUUUAUGUUAUAUCUUUUAUUAUAAUCUAUAAUAUAAUAGUUAUAUAUAUCAAUACUUAUAGAAUAUAUUAUUUCACUAUAUAAUACUAUAUCGCAUACUAUAAAAGUAGAGUAGUACAUAAUAUAAUAAUUAUUAUUAUAAAUUAUUGUUUAUUAUUAUACUAGUUGAAGUAUGCUCUAAGUCUCAAUACUUUUCGUACUUUUAAAAGCUAGCCCUCCUACUAUAGUAUAUAAUAUAUAUUAAUAGUUUAUAUAUAUGCGUCAAUGAUUAAACAUUAUAAUAUCAGGUAAUACUAUAUCUUUUAUUAUAACCUAUAAUAUAAUAGUAGUUAUAUGUAAUAGUAGUACAUUAUAUAUUAUUGUUUAUUUUAUAAUGGUUGAAAUAUUCUCUAAGUCCCUAUACUUUUCAUAUAUUUUAAAGUUAUCCCUCCUAUUAUAUUAUAUAAUGUUAUAUCAUAUUAUAUAGUAUAUAAUAGAUUAAUAAUUUGUAUAUGCAUCAAUGAUUAAACAUUAUAAUAUCAUAUAAUAUUAUAUGUUUUAUUAUAAUCUCUAAUAUAAUAAUAGUUAUAUAUAAUAGUAGUGUAACACCCUUUACUUGAGUUUGUACUUGAGUUUGUACCGAGUUAGGAAUGUUACGUUUGAGAAUAAAUAUUUUAUUCAAGAACCAAAAUACCAUAACAAAAAUUAUACAACAAUACUGACGUUCCGAAGCACAUACAACCAAUAGCGAGUUAGAAGAGAACAAAUGCACAAAAAUCAAGUAGAACAAAAAUCAGAGUGCUGUUAACGAAAGAAGUAAAUGAUCAAAAGAAGAAAAAAUGGGAGAAUUUUUUACUAUUUUUAAAAAUAAAAGGAUAAUAUCCUACCAUAUCCAUACUAAUCGAAUUAGUUAUCCACUUAGUUAGGUUGUUAGGAAUUUGAGUUUGAUUCACUUUCAGUGUUAUAGGCGGCAAAGCAGACAAAGUAAAAAUUUAUUUUGUUUUACACAUAAGAUUCAAACACAUGACCUUUAAGUAAAUUAAUGACUUACCACUAAAUCAACAGGCUCAUUCUUACAAACAAGCUAAUAAGAUUAAAAUAUAACUCACACGGGCCGAGCCAAGAGAAGGAAUAAUAAAAAUAAUACUAAAUUUUCAAGGAAAGAAAUUUAAAAAUAAAACCUCAAGCACACCUCCAAAGUACUUAAUCACUAAACCAAAAUAGAUUACUUAACAUGAUUUAACAAUUUAAAUCUAAGAAAUUUAGGGCGUUAUACAACCACAGCAUAUCUAACUUAAUUAUUUGAAAUAAAAAUAAAGUUAACACAAAAACUUACCUAUUUUAUUAAGAAUUUCCUCCCUUUUGCUCUUCCCUUUUCUUCCUCAAAUUCAAGACUAUCCUUCUCUUUUCUUCUAAAUUUAUCCACUUCCAUCUACUAAUUUCUUGCUUUUAAAUUGAUGAACAUACUUUCUAAAGUCUCUACUUCAAUUUUCUUUCGGUGCUUUUGGAAUUUUCCAAGAAAUUUGGAAGAAAUAAUGGGAUUACGUGAUAAGGGGCCAAAAUGUAAGAAAUGAGUUCUUCCCCAUUUUAUGAUGGUGAUGGAGUUGGAGCAUUGAGAAGUAUG